rnacentral:tRNA from 1 species
GCCUGGCUAGCUCAGUUGGUAGAGCGUGGGACUCUUGAUCUCAGGAUAGUGGGCUUGAGCCCCACGCUGGGCA